GCGGCCAAUCCCCUCGUCGCCUGAUCGCCGGAGACGCGCACCUGCAAGAAAAAUCCUCACUGACCGGAGAUGCCUCCAGUGGAGACCCUCCGACGGUCAAGUCAGAGAGAAGACUAGGCAACAGUGAAAAAAAUCAGGGGGCUCAGCGAGAGAGAGAGAGAGCUCUUCGAGAGCUUACCAAAACUGUUGCCUUACCCCAUUUUAUAGUAGAAUGCGGUAUGGUCCCGCCAUUAAUGGUGCAGACAACUAGAGAGUUGUUAAAUCAUCGGGAGCUAUCAGAUCGGCGUGGGUUGUCAGGUCAUUAGAAUUAACCCAUAUCCUUAGC
rnacentral:lncRNA from 1 species